rnacentral:snRNA from 1 species
CCACACCGCUCCAGGCCUGGCC